rnacentral:rRNA from 1 species
UGAGUAACGGCGAGCGAAAGGGAGAGCCCAGCGCCGAAUCCCGAGGUCUUUGGGCUCUGGGAAAUGUGGCGUUUAGGAGUGAGCGUGCCGGAGGUUGACUCUGCAGCAAGUCCCCCUGACCGGGGCAUUUACCCAGAGUGGGUGCGAGGCCCAUAGUUGCUAGGUCUCCUCUGGAUGCGAUCUCCUUGGAGUCGGGUUGCUUGGGAGUGCAGCCCUAAUCGGGUGGUAAACUCCACCUAAGGCUAAAUACGGCCGUGAGACCGAUAGCAAACGAGUACCGUGAGGGAAAGUUGCAAAGAACUUUGAAAAGAGAGUUCAAGAGUACGUGAAACUGCUCAGAGGUAAAGAGGUGGGCCCUCGAAAUCCUGUGGCGGGAGGAUUCAGUCGGAAGGCGGGGGCGUGCGCGGCGAUACUCACAUUGGUUCCGUCACCGGACCGUUUCGCCUGCACGCACUCUUGUCGGUACGA